CAUCACUCCAGUCACCCCCGCACGCCCACUGAAAGAAAAAAACGUCACACGUAUUCGGCAUUCGACUGUGAUUUUCCUCGUUAUGGCCGCUCGGAUAACCGGGAUCUUGCAAAGGUCCAUCCUUAUUUGAAUUCGCACUAAGAACCAUGCGGCCAAUAUCAGCUGGGUUGACAGGAUGUUUGGUAUGCAAACUUGAAACGUACAUGGAAAAAUGAGGUUAAUUCAGCAUUUCGUUGAAUCGAUGGAUCAGCGUGUCUCGAGAUGUUUCGACGCGAAGAAUAUGAUGGAAAAAGGAAUGCUGAUCGUUAACGUGAUCAGGAAACUCGUUAUAUUCUGAGGAUUUACCCAAAUUAGGAGAACGGAGGACGCUUGUUGCUGACCUUGCUGGACCAAUGAGCUCCGGAAACUGUACAACAAAGUACAUGGUGCGAGGCUGCCGUGCGGACGUGGCAGACUCGAGGGUCGACGAAACCAGGCUUACACACUACAGAAGCAUCCUGACAUGAUAAGAGAAUGUAUUCGAUAUCCGCAACCAAGUUUGGAAGGCGCCUCCUGGAGGAUAUAUCAGCAAAACUUAUACAAGGAAGACAACUAGGCAAGCAGUG